UUUUGCUUCAACCAACUGAUUUUUAAUACCACAUGCAUAGUUUUUACAAUUUAAACAGAAAGUUUAAAUCAACAUUUUAAAGGGGAAAACAGUUUUGCUUUUUCAAAACACAAAAACUACUUCUUUUUUAAACCAGAUCUGCAGACAGUUUGCUUGGAUGGUUCAGGGCCCAAGUACUGAAGGUGGACCUUCGGAAGAUUCUGUACCUUCAUGACUUGACACAGUGAGGUAUGCUGAAGUAGUGGCACUCCUAAGAAAGUCUGGACUCAAAAUCAGUAACAGUCUCUUCUGUAAACUCUAUCUCUUCAACACCAUUUCUUGAAUUCCUGGAACACUAUGCAUCAUUAACAUCAGAGGUGCACACAAAAAUGGCAGACCAAAGAAAGAGCAGUGUUGUACUUACAAAACAAUACUGCCUUCGUCUACCAGAUGCUCUAAUGUUAAUUGCAAGGAUUCUAAACUGUAGUUUCUUAGCCACUCUUCAGAGGUUUGCACCUUUUCAGACUGUAUUUCCUUCAUUUGUACUCUCUAUAGAUCGACAGAUCAUUUGUCUUGCUGCUAUGUAUGACCAGCGAUCCAUUAUCUGGUCCUGGACGUGACAUAGUAAAAUCUUGGCAUGGUGGAUGAACACCCUGCAGAGUGGAUUUUUAUUCUCACCCAGCUUUUUCCAAAACCUGAUCAUUGUCCAACAACUGUGCCAUUUUCUUGAUGUGUGUAUCCAUUAUUCAAACAGACCUAGCCUUGUUAAAAAAAAACCAAGAGAAAAAUGUCAAAGCAUUAGACACUCACCGACCCUUCCCCCAAGCGGGCCGGCUGCCGGCAACGCGGAAGGACCCGGGAGCCGCCCGCCCAUCCUCCGGCCCCGCUCGGCGUGUUACGGCGUUGCC
rnacentral:lncRNA from 1 species